GAAAGUAAGUAAGGGCGUAUGGGGGAUGCCUAGGCUCUUGGAGGCUAAGAAGGACGUGGUAAGCUGCGAAAAGCUGCGGGGAUUUGCAAACGAGACUCGAUCCGCAGAUAUCCGAAUGGGACAACCCGGCAGGUAGAAGACCUGUCACACCGCGAGGUGAGCUAACCCUCUGAACUGAAACAUCUAAGUAGGAGGAGGAAAAGAAAGAAACAUCGAUUUCCAAAGUAGCGGCGAGCGAAAUGGAAGAAGCCCAAACCGAUAUUGUUACGGCAAUAUCGGGGUUGUAGGACUGCAAUAUUCAAUUAACAAUGAACUGGAAUGGUCUGGAAAGUCCAUCCAUAGAGAGUGAAAGGCUCGUACAGGUAAGUUUGUUAUGCGAAAGCAGUAUCCUGAGUAUGGCGGGACACGAGGAAUCCUGUCAGAAUCAGCCGGGACCACCCGGUAAGGCUAAAUACUCCCAAGAGACCGAUAGUGAACCAGUACUGUGAAGGAAAGGUGAAAAGAACCCCGAACAGGGGAGUGAAAUAGAACCUGAAACCAUACGCUUACAACCGGUCGGAGCAGCUUCGUGCUGUGACGGCGUGCCUUUUGCAUAAUGAGCCUACGAGUUACUAAUCACUAGCGAGGUUAAGUGCAAGGAUGCACGGAGCCGAAGCGAAAGCGAGUCUGAACAGGGCGUUUAGUUAGUGGUUGUAGACGCGAAACCUUGCGAUCUACCCUUGAGCAGGUUGAAGGUUGGGUAAAACCAACUGGAGGACCGAACGAAUAAGCGUUGAAAAGCUUCUCGAUGACUUGAGGGUAGGGGUGAAAGGCUAAUCAAGCUGGGAAAUAGCUCGUACUCCCCGAAAUGCCUUUUGGGGCAGCGUUGUAAUAAAGAGUCUACUGGAGGUAGAGCUACUGAUUGGAUGCGGGGGCUUCACCGCCUACCAAAUCCUGACAAACUCCGAAUGCCAGUAGUAUGAUUUACAGCAGUGAGUGACUGGGUGCUAAUGUCCAGUCGCAAAAGAGGAACAACUCAGACCAGCAACUAAGGUCCCGAAGAAUAUGCUAAGUUGAUCUAACGAUGUUUUGUUGCAGAGACAGCUAGGAUGUUAGCUUGGAAGCAGCUAUUCAUUCAAAGAGUGCGUAACAGCUCACUAGUCGAGCGACAGAGCGUGGAUAAUAAACGGGCAUCAAGCAUAUCACCGAAGUUCUGGGCGCGAGAGCGCGGUAGGGGAGCAUUCCAUUCAGCGUCGAAGCAGUUUCGUGAGGAAUUGUGGAGCGUAUGGAAAAGCAAAUGUAGGCAUGAGUAACGAUAAUGCGGGAGAGUAACCCGCACACCGCAAGACCAAGGUUUCCUGAUCAACGCUAAUCGGAUCAGGGUUAGUCGGGUCCUAAGGGUAAGCCGAACGGCGAUCUCGAUGGAUAAUCGGUUAAUAUUCCGAUACUAACAUAUACCUCGAUGGAGAGACGAAGGAACGUAAGUGCCGCCACCUGACGGAAUAGGUGGUUAAAGGGCGUAGGUAUAGGGGCAGAUUAAGAGUUAGUCCUUGCUGAAACCUGACAGUACAGAGAGCCUACGGGCAAUUUGAUAGAGCACCCAAGUCGACUUCCGAGAAAAUCUUCUAAGUUAUAGUAUAUGUUACCCGUACCGUAAACCGACACAGGUGGUCGAGGAGAGUAUCCUAAGGUGCUCGAGUGAAUCACGGUUAAGGAACUAGGCAAAUUAACCCCGUAACUUCGGGAAAAGGGGUCCCUAUGAAAGUAGGGCGCAGCGAAGAGGUCCAGGCGACUGUUUAUCAAAAACACAGGGCUCUGCAAAUUCGAAAGAAGACGUAUAGGGCCUGACACCUGCCCGGUGCUGGAAGGUUAAGAGGGGAUGUCAUCGCAAGAGAAGCAUUGAAUCGAAGCCCCAGUAAACGGCGGCCGUAACUAUAACGGUCCUAAGGUAGCGAAAUUCCUUGUCGGGUAAGUUCCGAC
rnacentral:rRNA from 1 species